rnacentral:rRNA from 2 species
UUAAGCGACUAAGCGUACACGGUGGAUGCCCUGGCAGUCAGAGGCGAUGAAGGACGUGCUAAUCUGCGAUAAGCGUCGGUAAGGUGAUAUGAACCGUUAUAACCGGCGAUUUCCGAAUGGGGAAACCCAGUGUGUUUCGACACACUAUCAUUAACUGAAUCCAUAGGUUAAUGAGGCGAACCGGGGGAACUGAAACAUCUAAGUACCCCGAGGAAAAGAAAUCAACCGAGAUUCCCCCAGUAGCGGCGAGCGAACGGGGAGGAGCCCAGAGCCUGAAUCAGUGUGUGUGUUAGUGGAAGCGUCUGGAAAGGCGCGCGAUACAGGGUGACAGCCCCGUACACAAAAAUGCACAUAUUGUGAGCUCGAUGAGUAGGGCGGGACACGUGGUAUCCUGUCUGAAUAUGGGGGGACCAUCCUCCAAGGCUAAAUACUCCUGACUGACCGAUAGUGAACCAGUACCGUGAGGGAAAGGCGAAAAGAACCCCGGCGAGGGGAGUGAAAAAGAACCUGAAACCGUGUACGUACAAGCAGUGGGAGCCUCUUUUAUGGGGUGACUGCGUACCUUUUGUAUAAUGGGUCAGCGACUUAUAUUCUGUAGCAAGGUUAACCGAAUAGGGGAGCCGAAGGGAAACCGAGUCUUAACUGGGCGUUAAGUUGCAGGGUAUAGACCCGAAACCCGGUGAUCUAGCCAUGGGCAGGUUGAAGGUUGGGUAACACUAACUGGAGGACCGAACCGACUAAUGUUGAAAAAUUAGCGGAUGACUUGUGGCUGGGGGUGAAAGGCCAAUCAAACCGGGAGAUAGCUGGUUCUCCCCGAAAGCUAUUUAGGUAGCGCCUCGUGAAUUCAUCUCCGGGGGUAGAGCACUGUUUCGGCAAGGGGGUCAUCCCGACUUACCAACCCGAUGCAAACUGCGAAUACCGGAGAAUGUUAUCACGGGAGACACACGGCGGGUGCUAACGUCCGUCGUGAAGAGGGAAACAACCCAGACCGCCAGCUAAGGUCCCAAAGUCAUGGUUAAGUGGGAAACGAUGUGGGAAGGCCCAGACAGCCAGGAUGUUGGCUUAGAAGCAGCCAUCAUUUAAAGAAAGCGUAAUAGCUCACUGGUCGAGUCGGCCUGCGCGGAAGAUGUAACGGGGCUAAACCAUGCACCGAAGCUGCGGCAGCGACACUAUGUGUUGUUGGGUAGGGGAGCGUUCUGUAAGCCUGUGAAGGUGUACUGUGAGGUAUGCUGGAGGUAUCAGAAGUGCGAAUGCUGACAUAAGUAACGAUAAAGCGGGUGAAAAGCCCGCUCGCCGGAAGACCAAGGGUUCCUGUCCAACGUUAAUCGGGGCAGGGUGAGUCGACCCCUAAGGCGAGGCCGAAAGGCGUAGUCGAUGGGAAACAGGUUAAUAUUCCUGUACUUGGUGUUACUGCGAAGGGGGGACGGAGAAGGCUAUGUUGGCCGGGCGACGGUUGUCCCGGUUUAAGCGUGUAGGCUGGUUUUCCAGGCAAAUCCGGAAAAUCAAGGCUGAGGCGUGAUGACGAGGCACUACGGUGCUGAAGCAACAAAUGCCCUGCUUCCAGGAAAAGCCUCUAAGCAUCAGGUAACAUCAAAUCGUACCCCAAACCGACACAGGUGGUCAGGUAGAGAAUACCAAGGCGCUUGAGAGAACUCGGGUGAAGGAACUAGGCAAAAUGGUGCCGUAACUUCGGGAGAAGGCACGCUGAUAUGUAGGUGAAGUCCCUCGCGGAUGGAGCUGAAAUCAGUCGAAGAUACCAGCUGGCUGCAACUGUUUAUUAAAAACACAGCACUGUGCAAACACGAAAGUGGACGUAUACGGUGUGACGCCUGCCCGGUGCCGGAAGGUUAAUUGAUGGGGUCAGCGCAAGCGAAGCUCUUGAUCGAAGCCCCGGUAAACGGCGGCCGUAACUAUAACGGUCCUAAGGUAGCGAAAUUCCUUGUCGGGUAAGUUCCGACCUGCACGAAUGGCGUAAUGAUGGCCAGGCUGUCUCCACCCGAGACUCAGUGAAAUUGAACUCGCUGUGAAGAUGCAGUGUACCCGCGGCAAGACGGAAAGACCCCGUGAACCUUUACUAUAGCUUGACACUGAACAUUGAGCCUUGAUGUGUAGGAUAGGUGGGAGGCUUAGAAGUGUGGACGCCAGUCUGCAUGGAGCCGACCUUGAAAUACCACCCUUUAAUGUUUGAUGUUCUAACGUUGACCCGUGAUCCGGGUUGCGGACAGUGUCUGGUGGGUAGUUUGACUGGGGCGGUCUCCUCCUAAAGAGUAACGGAGGAGCACGAAGGUUGGCUAAUCCUGGUCGGACAUCAGGAGGUUAGUGCAAUGGCAUAAGCCAGCUUGACUGCGAGCGUGACGGCGCGAGCAGGUGCGAAAGCAGGUCAUAGUGAUCCGGUGGUUCUGAAUGGAAGGGCCAUCGCUCAACGGAUAAAAGGUACUCCGGGGAUAACAGGCUGAUACCGCCCAAGAGUUCAUAUCGACGGCGGUGUUUGGCACCUCGAUGUCGGCUCAUCACAUCCUGGGGCUGAAGUAGGUCCCAAGGGUAUGGCUGUUCGCCAUUUAAAGUGGUACGCGAGCUGGGUUUAGAACGUCGUGAGACAGUUCGGUCCCUAUCUGCCGUGGGCGCUGGAGAAUUGAGGGGGGCUGCUCCUAGUACGAGAGGACCGGAGUGGACGCAUCACUGGUGUUCGGGUUGUCAUGCCAAUGGCACUGCCCGGUAGCUAAAUGCGGAAGAGAUAAGUGCUGAAAGCAUCUAAGCACGAAACUUGCCCCGAGAUGAGUUCUCCCUGACUCCUUGAGAGUCCUGAAGGAACGUUGAAGACGACGACGUUGAUAGGCCGGGUGUGUAAGCGCAGCGAUGCGUUGAGCUAACCGGUACUAAUGAACCGUGAGGCUUAACCUU